AUGAUGAACGCUAGCUACAGGCUUAACACAUGCAAGUCGAGGGGCAGCAUGGUCUUAGCUUGCUAAGGCCGAUGGCGACCGGCGCACGGGUGAGUAACACGUAUCCAACCUGCCGUCUACUCUUGGACAGCCUUCUGAAAGGAAGAUUAAUACAAGAUGGCAUCAUGAGUCCGCAUGUUCACAUGAUUAAAGGUAUUCCGGUAGACGAUGGGGAUGCGUUCCAUUAGAUAGUAGGCGGGGUAACGGCCCACCUAGUCUUCGAUGGAUAGGGGUUCUGAGAGGAAGGUCCCCCACAUUGGAACUGAGACACGGUCCAAACUCCUACGGGAGGCAGCAGUGAGGAAUAUUGGUCAAUGGGCGAGAGCCUGAACCAGCCAAGUAGCGUGAAGGAUGACUGCCCUAUGGGUUGUAAACUUCUUUUAUAAAGGAAUAAAGUCGGGUAUGGAUACCCGUUUGCAUGUACUUUAUGAAUAAGGAUCGGCUAACUCCGUGCCAGCAGCCGCGGUAAUACGGAGGAUCCGAGCGUUAUCCGGAUUUAUUGGGUUUAAAGGGAGCGUAGAUGGAUGUUUAAGUCAGUUGUGAAAGUUUGCGGCUCAACCGUAAAAUUGCAGUUGAUACUGGAUAUCUUGAGUGCAGUUGAGGCAGGCGGAAUUCGUGGUGUAGCGGUGAAAUGCUUAGAUAUCACGAAGAACUCCGAUUGCGAAGGCAGCCAGCUAAGCUGCAACUGACAUUGAGGCUCGAAAGUGUGGGUAUCAAACAGGAUUAGAUACCCUGGUAGUCCACACGGUAAACGAUGAAUACUCGCUGUUUGCGAUAUACUGCAAGCGGCCAAGCGAAAGCGUUAAGUAUUCCACCUGGGGAGUACGCCGGCAACGGUGAAACUCAAAGGAAUUGACGGGGGCCCGCACAAGCGGAGGAACAUGUGGUUUAAUUCGAUGAUACGCGAGGAACCUUACCCGGGCUUAAAUUGCAGAUGAAUUACGGUGAAAGCCGUAAGCCGCAAGGCAUCUGUGAAGGUGCUGCAUGGUUGUCGUCAGCUCGUGCCGUGAGGUGUCGGCUUAAGUGUCAUAACGAGCGCAACCCUUGUUGUCAGUUACUAACAGGUUCCGCUGAGGACUCUGACAAGACUGCCAUCGUAAGAUGUGAGGAAGGUGGGGAUGACGUCAAAUCAGCACGGCCCUUACGUCCGGGGCUACACACGUGUUACAAUGGGGGGUACAGAGGGCCGCUACCACGCGAGUGGAUGCCAAUCCCCAAAACCUCUCUCAGUUCGGACUGGAGUCUGCAACCCGACUCCACGAAGCUGGAUUCGCUAGUAAUCGCGCAUCAGCCACGGCGCGGUGAAUACGUUCCCGGGCCUUGUACACACCGCCCGUCAAGCCAUGGGAGCCGGGGGUACCUGAAGUGCGUAACCGCGAGGAGCGCCCUAGGGUAAAAC
rnacentral:rRNA from 1 species